rnacentral:rRNA from 1 species
CCUACGGGGAGCUGCAGUGAGGAAUAUUGGUCAAUGGGAGAGAUCCUGAACCAGCCAAGCCGCGUGAGGGAAGACGGCCCUAUGGGUUGUAAACCUCUUUUGUCGGAGAACAAAACCCGGGACGUGUCCCGGACUGCGUGUAUCCGAAGAAAAAGCAUUGGCUAACUCCGUGCCAGCAGCCGCGGUAAUACGGAGGAUGCGAGCGUUAUCCGGAUUUAUUGGGUUUAAAGGGUGCGUAGGCGGUCCGUUAAGUCAGCGGGAAAAUUGCGGGGCUCAACCCCGUCGAGCCGUUGAAACUGGCAGACUUGAGUUGGCGAGAAGUACGCGGAAUGCGCGGUGUAGCGGUGAAAUGCAUAGAUAUCGCGCAGAACUCCGAUUGCGAAGGCAGCGUACCGGCGCCAGACUGACGCUGAGGCACGAAAGCGUGGGGAUCGAACAGGAUUUAGAUACCCGGGUAGUC